UGUUUAGUAGUUUAAUGGUUAAAACAUUACUCUUCUAAAGUAAAGAUAUAGGUUCGAAUCCUUACUAGACAA